CACAACGCGACUGGAGCACUCUCGGCCCCGUUCACCCCCCCCCUUUGGACCGGUGGGGGUUAUCCCGGUCCCCACCAGACAAGCAAACACCCACAAGGCACUCCUGGGCGACGACUGCCACGCGGCCUCAACAAAAUGGCCGAACGUGCUGUAACUGCCCCACAGGCCACUGGAGAAGAGCCGCGCAGACCGCGCCAACUGAGAACACCUUACCUCAGCCUCCUACUACCAAGACCGCAGACCAUCACUGGGGUAAGGCACUGAAAAGCUGUCCCCUUGAAAAGCUGUCCCCUUG